UCAUCAUCGGCUGAAAUUUAAUUAAACAACACUAAGAUUCAGUUUAUGGCAAAUAGAUAAUUGUACAGUUGAACCACCAACAUAAAUAAAUCUAAUAAAAAGAUCAACUUUUACUCUGCAACUACAAACUAACUUCAUGCAUUUGAAACCAAAACUAACAAAACCCAAAAUUAGAUGUCUAUUUAUCAGUUUUCCCAGCAACCAUACAGCAGGCCUCAGAGAGAAGAUUAGAUU